rnacentral:rRNA from 1 species
AGCGGCGCACGGGUGAGUAACGCGUAUGCAACCUACCAUUAACUGGGGGAUAGCCCGGGGAAACUCGGAUUAAUACCCCAUAGUAUUAUUUGAUCGCAUGGUUAAAUAAUUAAAGUUCCGGCGGUUAAUGAUGGGCAUGCGUGCCAUUAGGUAGUUGGUGAGGUAACGGCUCACCAAGCCGACGAUGGCUACGGGGUCUUAAAGGAUGGUCCCGCACACUGGUACUGAGACACGGACCAGACUCCUACGGGAGGCAGCAGUGAGGAAUAUUGGUCAAUGGGCGCAAGCCUGAACCAGCCAUGCCGCGUGAAGGAAGACUGCCCUAUGGGUUGUAAACUUCUUUUGUACGGGAAUAAACGCAGUUACGUGUAACUGCCUGAAGGUACUGUACGAAUAAGCAUCGGCUAACUCCGUGCCAGCAGCCGCGGUAAUACGGAGGAUGCAGGCGUUAUCCGGAUUUAUUAGGUUUAAAGGGUGCGUAGGCGGUCCGUUAAGUCAGUGGUGAAAGUUUGCAGCUUAACUGUAAAAUUGCCAUUGAUACUGACAGACUUGAGUACGGUAGAGGUAGGCGGAAUGUGUAGUGUAGCGGUGAAAUGCUUAGAUAUUACACAGAACACCGAUUGCGAAGGCAGCUUACUAUGCCGGUACUGACGCUGAUGCACGAAAGCGUGGGGAGCGAACAGGAUUAGAUACCCUGGUA